UACCAGCACCCCCGAGUGGUCGGGACGUUUUAUUGGGCCUAAAGCAUCCGUAGCCGGUUCUACAAGUCUUCCGUUAAAUCCAGCUGCUUAACAGAUGGGCUGCGGAAGAUACUAUGGAGCUAGGAGGCGGGGAGAGGCAAGCGGUACUCGAUGGGUAGGGGUAAAAUCCGUUGAUCCAUUGAAGACCACCAGUGGCGAAGGCGGCUUGCCAGAACGCGCUCGACGGUGAGGGAUGAAAGCUGGGGGGAGCAAACCGG
rnacentral:rRNA from 1 species